rnacentral:antisense_RNA from 1 species
UUUUUUGGGCGGGCCAUGCGGGGAGCCGCAAGGCUCGCCGGCCCUUCGACCGGUAUGUCAACCCGCAUGGUUCCGCCCUU